GUGAUUAAUUCGAUGCAACGCGAAGAACCUUACCUACCCUUGACAUGUCCGGAACUUGCCUAGAGAUGGCUUGGUGCCCGAAAGGGAACCGGAACACAGGUGCUGCAUGGCUGCCGUCAGCUCGUGUCGUGAGAUGUUGGGUUUAAGUCCCGCAACGAGCGCAACCCUUGUCCUUAGUUGCUACGCAAGAGCACUCUAAGGAGACUGCCGGUGACAAACCGGAGGAAGGUGGGGAUGACGUCAAGUCCUCAUGGCCCUUAUAGGUGGGGCUACACACGUCAUACAAUGGCCGGUACAGAGGGUAGCCAACCCGCGAGGGGGAGCCAAUCCCACAAAGCCGGUCGUAGUCCGGAUCGCAGUCUGCAACUCGACUGCGUGAAGUCGGAAUCGCUAGUAAUCGCGGAUCAGCAUGUCGCGGUGAAUACGUUCCCGGGUCUU
rnacentral:rRNA from 1 species